rnacentral:rRNA from 1 species
UACGUAGGGUGCGAGCGUUAAUCGGAAUUACUGGGCGUAAAGCGAGCGCAGACGGUUACUUAAGCAGGAUGUGAAAUCCCCGGGCUCAACCUGGGAACUGCGUUCUGAACUGGGUGACUAGAGUGUGUCAGAGGGAGGUAGAAUUCCACGUGUAGCAGUGAAAUGCGUAGAGAUGUGGAGGAAUACCGAUGGCGAAGGCAGCCUCCUGGGAUAACACUGACGUUCAUGCUCGAAAGCGUGGGUAGCAAACAGGAUUAGAUACCCUGGUAGUCCACGCCCUAAACGAUGUCAAUUAGCUGUUGGGCAACUUGAUUGCUUAGUAGCGUAGCUAACGCGUGAAAUUGACCGCCUGGGGAGUACGGUCGCAAGAUUA